UACGUAGGGUGCAAGCGUUAAUCGGAAUUACUGGGCGUAAAGCGUGCGCAGGCGGUUUUGUAAGUCUGUCGUGAAAGCCCCGGGCUCAACCUGGGAAUUGCGAUGGAGACUGCAAGGCUUGAAUCUGGCAGAGGGGGGUAGAAUUCCACGUGUAGCAGUGAAAUGCGUAGAGAUGUGGAGGAAUACCGAUGGCGAAGGCAGCCCCCUGGGUCAAGAUUGACGCUCAUGCACGAAAGCGUGGGGAGCAAACAGG
rnacentral:rRNA from 1 species